AGUUUUAAUACGUUACACAAUCUGUCGCGUCGGUGUUGUUUUCAUGUUAAGAACUAUAUAGCAUAAGUGUACUGGCAUCUGCUGGGGGAAACUUCUCUAUAUCAUAAGCUUGAAGAAUUGGGCUUCAAUCCGGUAAAAUGUUCACAGCCCUGUUUUUACACUCUGCUCUGAUCAUCCUUCAUUUGAUGAUGGAAUUGCCAGGAACAGAGUGCCAAGCAACCUGUGUCAAAAACUCCUCUUACAUAUUUUCGAAAAGCGGAAGAGGUUGGUGUGACAACAGGAAUUUCUGUUACGAACAGGGAUUUGGCUUAGUCUCC